rnacentral:rRNA from 1 species
UUGCCAGCAUUCAGUUGGGCACUCUAAGGUGACUGCCGGUGACAAACCGGAGGAAGGUGGGGAUGACGUCAAAUCAUCAUGCCCCUUAUGACCUGGGCUACACACGUGGUACAAUGGACAGAACAAAGGGCAGCGAAACCGCGAGGUUAAGCCAAUCCCACAAAUCUGUUCUCAGUUCGGAUCGCAGUCUGCAACUCGACUGCGUGAAGCUGGAAUCGCUAGUAAUCGCGGAUCAGCAUGCCGCGGUGAAUACGUUCCCGGGCCUUGUACACACCGCCCGUCACACCACGAGAGUUUGUAACACCCGAAGUCGGUGAGGUAAC